AGCUCCAAUAGCCUAUGUUAAUGUUGUUGCGGUUAAAAAGCUCGUAGUUGGAUCUCGGCGGUCCGGGGGCGGUUCGCUUUCUGGCGUGACUGCCCCGCUGGGCCGUGGUGGUUUCGGCGGAGGCUCCGGGGUGCUCUUCAUCGGGUGUCCCGUGGCGCCGCCGGGUUUACUUUGAAAAAAUUAGAGUGCUCCAGGCAGGCCUGACACGCCUGAAUAGUCGUGCAUGGAAUGAUGGAAUAGGACGUCGUUUCUAUUUUGUUCGGUUUUCGGAAGUCGACGUAAUGAUUGAUAGGGACGGUCGGGGGCAUUCGUAUUCAGGCGACAGAGGUGAAAUUCUUGGACCGUCUGAAGACGCGCUACUGCGAAAGCAUUUGCCAAGAAUGUUUUCAU
rnacentral:rRNA from 1 species